UGCAAUAGAGCAGGUAUCAGGCUCAACAACGUUAGCCCACUACACCUUGCCAAGCCACAUCCCCACGGAUUUCACAGCAGUGACCAACAUUAGGCAAUGAGCACUCCAAGCUCGACCUAGCUAAAACCCAUUUGGCCGGCAAAUCUCGUGCCAGCAGCCGCGGUUACACGGGAGGCCAGAGAUAACUUCCGACGGCGUAAAGAGUGACCCCAGAUUACCACCUACCACCUGAUUCCAGAACCCUAUCUCAGAGAUGAAAUCCCAAGAUACCUGGAACUCCCUAACAUCCGCAAAUAGGCCAUCUAACUCACGAAAACCAGGUUACAAACUAGGAUU
rnacentral:rRNA from 1 species